UGCAGAGUCAUAUUAUACACCCUCCAUACUAAAAGCUUUACCGUUCUUACUCUUCCUCCUUCUCUGGCAGACCCUUUUCCGUUUCUGGCUGCUCUUCCACUGCCUCCAAAGGCUCCGUCCAGAUGCACCCACCAUCGUCCCAAAUGCUGCAGGAAGUGCUCCUCCCCCAAAAUCAGAUCCAAACUUGUUUGAGAUAAAACAUAAUAACAAAUCAGGUCCACAAAAACAAUCUUGGAACUCAUAUGGAGCCAUACUCACAAAUCAAAAUCAAGAUUCAAACCCACAAAAUCAAGAUUCAACCCAAAUCAAAAUUGUUAGAUAGUGGAAUCAAAAAUUGCAAAACGAAGACAUCAUUGUCCUGAAAAAAUACAGUUAAAAGAUUACAGUAAAAAUAACUGAUUUACGAUUUAGCACAAAAAAAAUUGAUUUCUUUUUCAAUCACUCCUUGGACAUCAUAGGGAGUUCUACGAUAGCCUCGACAUCGUCGGGCUUUGGUUGUCGCGUUGGCUAGAGAGAAUGACGAGGUCAACGAUGUUAGGAAGUGAGGAGGUGCCGAAGAUGAGGAAGAAGACCUAAGGGAGAAGGAAUUUUGUGUGAAAUGUGCACCAUACUAACAAAAGAACGAGAUUAAUCCAAUGGCUGUUAAAUGUGAUUCAUCAGAGACCACUUGUCUUUCUGGUCCACGCUAG
rnacentral:lncRNA from 1 species